rnacentral:rRNA from 1 species
UUAAGCGACUAAGCGUACACGGUGGAUGCCCUGGCAGUCAGAGGCGAUGAAGGACGUGCUAAUCUGCGAUAAGCGUCGGUAAGGUGAUAUGAACCGUUAUAACCGGCGAUUUCCGAAUGGGGAAACCCAGUGUGAUUUGUCACACUAUUAUUAACUGAAUCCAUAGGUUAAUGAGGCGAACCGGGGGAACUGAAACAUCUAAGUACCCCGAGGAAAAGAAAUCAACCGAGAUUCCCCCAGUAGCGGCGAGCGAACGGGGAGGAGCCCAGAGCCUGAAUCAGUGUGUGUGUUAGUGGAAGCGUCUGGAAAGGCGCGCGAUACAGGGUGACAGCCCCGUACACAAAAAUGCACAUACUGUGAGCUCGAUGAGUAGGGCGGGACACGUGGUAUCCUGUCUGAAUAUGGGGGGACCAUCCUCCAAGGCUAAAUACUCCUGACUGACCGAUAGUGAACCAGUACCGUGAGGGAAAGGCGAAAAGAACCCCGGCGAGGGGAGUGAAAAAGAACCUGAAACCGUGUACGUACAAGCAGUGGGAGCCUCUUUUAUGGGGUGACUGCGUACCUUUUGUAUAAUGGGUCAGCGACUUAUAUUCUGUAGCAAGGUUAACCGAAUAGGGGAGCCGAAGGGAAACCGAGUCUUAACUGGGCGUUAAGUUGCAGGGUAUAGACCCGAAACCCGGUGAUCUAGCCAUGGGCAGGUUGAAGGUUGGGUAACACUAACUGGAGGACCGAACCGACUAAUGUUGAAAAAUUAGCGGAUGACUUGUGGCUGGGGGUGAAAGGCCAAUCAAACCGGGAGAUAGCUGGUUCUCCCCGAAAGCUAUUUAGGUAGCGCCUCGUGAAUUCAUCUCCGGGGGUAGAGCACUGUUUCGGCAAGGGGGUCAUCCCGACUUACCAACCCGAUGCAAACUGCGAAUACCGGAGAAUGUUAUCACGGGAGACACACGGCGGGUGCUAACGUCCGUCGUGAAGAGGGAAACAACCCAGACCGCCAGCUAAGGUCCCAAAGUCAUGGUUAAGUGGGAAACGAUGUGGGAAGGCCCAGACAGCCAGGAUGUUGGCUUAGAAGCAGCCAUCAUUUAAAGAAAGCGUAAUAGCUCACUGGUCGAGUCGGCCUGCGCGGAAGAUGUAACGGGGCUAAACCAUGCACCGAAGCUGCGGCAGCGACACUGUGUGUUGUUGGGUAGGGGAGCGUUCUGUAAGCCUGCGAAGGUGUGCUGUGAGGCAUGCUGGAGGUAUCAGAAGUGCGAAUGCUGACAUAAGUAACGAUAAAGCGGGUGAAAAGCCCGCUCGCCGGAAGACCAAGGGUUCCUGUCCAACGUUAAUCGGGGCAGGGUGAGUCGACCCCUAAGGCGAGGCCGAAAGGCGUAGUCGAUGGGAAACAGGUUAAUAUUCCUGUACUUGGUGUUACUGCGAAGGGGGGACGGAGAAGGCUAUGUUGGCCGGGCGACGGUUGUCCCGGUUUAAGCGUGUAGGCUGGUUUUCCAGGCAAAUCCGGAAAAUCAAGGCUGAGGCGUGAUGACGAGGCACUACGGUGCUGAAGCAACAAAUGCCCUGCUUCCAGGAAAAGCCUCUAAGCAUCAGGUAACAUCAAAUCGUACCCCAAACCGACACAGGUGGUCAGGUAGAGAAUACCAAGGCGCUUGAGAGAACUCGGGUGAAGGAACUAGGCAAAAUGGUGCCGUAACUUCGGGAGAAGGCACGCUGAUAUGUAGGUGAAGCGACUUGCUCGUGGAGCUGAAAUCAGUCGAAGAUACCAGCUGGCUGCAACUGUUUAUUAAAAACACAGCACUGUGCAAACACGAAAGUGGACGUAUACGGUGUGACGCCUGCCCGGUGCCGGAAGGUUAAUUGAUGGGGUCAGCGCAAGCGAAGCUCUUGAUCGAAGCCCCGGUAAACGGCGGCCGUAACUAUAACGGUCCUAAGGUAGCGAAAUUCCUUGUCGGGUAAGUUCCGACCUGCACGAAUGGCGUAAUGAUGGCCAGGCUGUCUCCACCCGAGACUCAGUGAAAUUGAACUCGCUGUGAAGAUGCAGUGUACCCGCGGCAAGACGGAAAGACCCCGUGAACCUUUACUAUAGCUUGACACUGAACAUUGAGCCUUGAUGUGUAGGAUAGGUGGGAGGCUUUGAAGUGUGGACGCCAGUCUGCAUGGAGCCGACCUUGAAAUACCACCCUUUAAUGUUUGAUGUUCUAACGUGGACCCGUGAUCCGGGUUGCGGACAGUGUCUGGUGGGUAGUUUGACUGGGGCGGUCUCCUCCUAAAGAGUAACGGAGGAGCACGAAGGUUGGCUAAUCCUGGUCGGACAUCAGGAGGUUAGUGCAAUGGCAUAAGCCAGCUUGACUGCGAGCGUGACGGCGCGAGCAGGUGCGAAAGCAGGUCAUAGUGAUCCGGUGGUUCUGAAUGGAAGGGCCAUCGCUCAACGGAUAAAAGGUACUCCGGGGAUAACAGGCUGAUACCGCCCAAGAGUUCAUAUCGACGGCGGUGUUUGGCACCUCGAUGUCGGCUCAUCACAUCCUGGGGCUGAAGUAGGUCCCAAGGGUAUGGCUGUUCGCCAUUUAAAGUGGUACGCGAGCUGGGUUUAGAACGUCGUGAGACAGUUCGGUCCCUAUCUGCCGUGGGCGCUGGAGAACUGAGGGGGGCUGCUCCUAGUACGAGAGGACCGGAGUGGACGCAUCACUGGUGUUCGGGUUGUCAUGCCAAUGGCACUGCCCGGUAGCUAAAUGCGGAAGAGAUAAGUGCUGAAAGCAUCUAAGCACGAAACUUGCCCCGAGAUGAGUUCUCCCUGACUCCUUGAGAGUCCUGAAGGAACGUUGAAGACGACGACGUUGAUAGGCCGGGUGUGUAAGCGCAGCGAUGCGUUGAGCUAACCGGUACUAAUGAACCGUGAGGCUUAACCUU